UACGAGAGGCCCAAACGUUUAUUCGGAAUUACUGGGCUUAAAGAGUUCGUAGGCGGCGCAGAAAGUAGGGUGUGAAAGCCCUCGGCUUAACCGAGGAAUUGCGCUCUAAACUACUGUGCUUGAGGAACCUAGAGGUGAGCAGAACUGAUGGUGGAGCGGUGAAAUGCGUUGAUAUCAUCAGGAAUACCGGAGGCGAAGGCGGCUCACUGGGGGUUUCUGACGCUGAGGAACGAAAGCCAGGGGAGCGAACGGG
rnacentral:rRNA from 1 species